rnacentral:rRNA from 1 species
CACGCCGCGGGAAUACGGAGGGGGCUAGCGUUGUUCGGAAUUACUGGGCGUAAAGCGCACGUAGGCGGCUUGGUAAGUUAGAGGUGAAAGCCUGGAGCUCAACUCCAGAAUUGCCUUUAAGACUGCCGAGCUAGCAGGUGAGAGAGGUAAGUGGAAUUCCGAGUGUAGAGGUGAAAUUCGUAGAUAUUCGGAAGAACACCAGUGGCGAAGGCGGCUUACUGGCUCAUACUGGACGCUGAGGUGCGAAAGCGUGGGGAGCAAACAGGAUUAGAGACCCCAGUAGUCCCUGUCUCUUAUACAC